GCUCGUGUAGCUCAGUUGGUUAGAGCGUUGGUCUGAUGAGCCGAAGGUUGCGGGUUCGAGCCCCUCCGGGAGCA